UACGUAGGGGUCGAGCGUUGUCCGGAGUUACUGGGCGUAAAGCGUGCGCAGGCGGCUUGUUGCGCCCGGCGUGAAAGCCCCCGGCUCAACUGGGGAGGGUCACGCGAUACUGAUCGACUCGAAGGCAGGAGAGGGAAGUGGAAUUCCCGGUGUAGUGGUGAAAUGCGUAGAUAUCGGGAGGAACACCAGUGGCGAAGGCGACUUCCUGGCCUGUUCUUGACGCUGAGGCGCGAAAGCUAGGGGAGCAAACGGG
rnacentral:rRNA from 1 species